GCGAACGCUGGCGGCAUGCCUAACACAUGCAAGUCGAACGGGGUCUCCGCUUCGGUGGGGGCCUAGUGGCGCACGGGUGAGUAACGCGUGGGAACCUGCCCUGUGGUACGGAACAACUCCGGGAAACUGGAGCUAAUACCGUAUGUGUCCUGCGGGACAAAGAUUGCAUCGCCAUGGGAGGGGCCCGCGUAGGAUUAGGUAGUUGGCGGGGUAACGGCCCACCAAGCCCGCGAUCCUUAGCUGGUCUGAGAGGGCUCACGACACACUGGACUGAGACACGGUCCAGACUCCUACGGGAGGCAGCAGUGGGGAAUAUUGCGACAAUGGGGGAAAGCCCUGAUCCAGCAACUGCCGCGUGAGGAUGAAGGCCCUUCGGGAUGUAAAGCUCUUUCGCACGGGACGAUAUGACGGUAGCCGUGAGAAGAAGCACCGGCUAACUCUGUGCCAGCAGCCGCGGUAAUACAGAGGGUGCUAGCGUUGUUCGGAAUUACUUGGGCGUAAAGGGCGCGUAGGCGGUGCUGUAAGUCAGGCAGUGAAAGCUCCGGGCUCAACUCAGGAACGUCUGCUGUGAGACUGCACGUGCUUGAGUGUGGGAGAGGAUGAGUGGAAUUCCCAGUGUAGCGGUGAAAUUCGUAGAUAUCGGGAAGAACACCUGAUGGCGAAAGGCAGCUCAUCUGGACCGACAACUGACGCUGAGGCGCGAAAGCUAGGGGAGCAAACAGGAUUAGAUACCCUGGUAGUCCUAGCCCUAAACGAUGAUUGCUUGGUGUAUUGGGUACCCAAUCCCAAUGUGCCGAAGCUAACGCGAUAAGCAAUCCGCCUGGGGAGUACGGUCGCAAGACUGAAACUCAAAGGAAUUGACGGGGGCCCGCACAAGCGGUGGAGCAUGUGGUUCAAUUCGACGCAACGCGAAGAACCUUACCUGGGCUCGAAAUGCAGUGGAUCGGGGUGGAAACAUCCUUUCCCGCAAGGGCUGCUGCAUAGGUGCUGCAUGGCUGUCGUCAGCUCGUGUCGUGAGAUGUUGGGUUAAGUCCCGCAACGAGCGCAACCCUUAUUGCCAGUUGCCAUCAUUCAGUUGGGCACUCAGGCGAAACUGCCCCGGAUAACGGGGAGGAAGGUGGGGAUGACGUCAAGUCCUCAUGGCCUUUAUGUCCAGGGCUACACACGUGCUACAAUGGUCGAUACAAACCGUCGCAAACCUGCGAAGGGGAGCUAAUCGGAAAAAGUCGGCCUCAGUUCGGAUUGGAGUCUGCAACUCGACUCCAUGAAGCUGGAAUCGCUAGUAAUCGCGGAUCAGAACGCCGCGGUGAAUACGUUCCCGGGCCUUGUACACACCGCCCGUCACAUCACGAAAGUGGGCUGUACUAGAAGCAGGUGGGCCAACCGCAAGGAGGCAGCCUUCCAAGGUAUAACUCAUGAUUGGGGUG
rnacentral:rRNA from 1 species